rnacentral:lncRNA from 1 species
UUAAAUUGAUUUUGCGUCGUACAGAUACAUGUUAGUGUAUUUUAAUUACAGUAUAUAUUAUUUAACGUCGUACAUAUGUUAGUGUCUGAAACAAAUUUGUAACUAACAUAUAUAUUAGAUUGUGAGAAAGAACCUUCAAUCAUUCUUCUGGUUUCUUCAUUCAUCACUUGAUUCCAAAUUAUUUCGUCAUCAAAAGCUGAAUUACAAAGUGUAACCUUCAAAGUCUCUCAAGUAUCUGAAACGACAAGUGGCGAUCAAGGAAGAAAAUGGAAGACUACGUCACGAGCCUAGCUAGUUACCUUAGCAGAUUGAAGAGGCACGUCAGACUGGGAUAGAGAGCUCGACGAUUGUUUGUAAACUAUGUCUAAUAGCCCUAAAUGGGCUUGUUUCUAUCUGUGACGCAUUCGUUACUGCCCAAACUAAGAGGGCUGAUGAGGUGAGUUUUGCGAUAUUUCAUGUAUUAGAAAACGAUGAUCCAAUCGGUAUUUCUUUGGUGGAAGAGUCGGCAACACUUGCGGAGAAGCUCGACAUGAUAUCAGUAAAGAAGAAGAGAUGAAAUUGGUUGAAGGAAGAAAUGAA